rnacentral:tRNA from 1 species
UCCCUUGUGGCUCAACUGGUAAAGAAUCCAUCUGCAAUGUGGGAGACCCAGGUUCGAACCCUGGGUUGGGAA